AUCACAGAAACUUUGAUAGUGUAAACCAUUCAUUUUUCUCACCAAAUAUCAUGUCAUGCACACAAUUCAACUUACUUUCAAUAUCAGUAAGUUUUUUGGUGAGCGAUAGUUUAAUGUUUUCCGCAGACUCCAAAGCCUUUACAGUUCUUUCCCUGAAUUUCCUCUGUUCUUCCAACGUAUCAUUGUAAAGCUUGCUCGCUUCAUCAAAUCUUUGCUUGAGAUCUCCAGAUUCCUGAAAGAGAGAAGGAAUUGCAGAAGCCAGGAACAAAUGGGCCAUUAUAAGAGUACGAAAAUUAAACUAAAUUUCUCUAUUUUGUUUAUUUGCUACCAUCCAGUAUCGUGGUGGAAGAUGAAUAUUGAAUGCUGGGUAUUGAAGUAAUGUGAA